rnacentral:misc_RNA from 1 species
AACGCACAUUGCGCCCGCCAGCAUUCUGGCGGGCAUGCCUGUCCGAGCGUCAUUUCCACCCAUCGGGCCCCCGGGCCCGCGUUGGGGACCUGCGGCUGCCCGCAGGCCCUGAAAACCAGUGGCGGGCUCGCUAGUCACACCGAGCGUAGUAGCACAGAACACCUCGCUCAGGGCGUGCGGCGGGCUCCGGCCGUUAAACCACCCCCGAAACCCCCCAAGGUUGACCUCGGAUCAGGUAGGAAGACCCGCUGAACUUAA